AUGGCCACACAAAAUGCAACAGCCUUGCACGAGCAGUCUGGCGUUUAUGCCCACGGGCUACCCAGGAUGAAGCCAAGGUUCAGGAUCUGCUGCUUCCCUUUUCCUUCACCAGCACAACUGGAACGGAGCUGCUUAGCUGGAAAUGAAAACCAGCUGUUCACAUGGGUAGGAAGGCUGGCGUUUGGAUGUCCUGACCCAUUUCCACCCUCCCCAUCGUCCUGUGGGUUGGGAUGGCAGGACGAGAUGAUGAUCCCUCCUGGGAACACCACCUGCAAGAGGCUGGCAGCUCCUCACCAAAACUGGGGAACAGCUUUUGCUUUAGGAAAAAGCGAUCACCUGGAAAAAGCUUUCACAAGCUCUUCUUAUUGGUGUCCCAUGGAUGAGGUUGGCUGCCAUGAGAUGAUACAGGAUUUAAGCCCAUGGAAGCGUUAUCAUGGGUGGAAACAGCCAGCUGGUAUCCUGGUGGCCUGUGCUGUGUGUAAGAGCUCGGUAUUGCAGCUCCGAAGCCUGUGAUGUCUCCAUCUGUGUGACCAUCCCACCAGCAACUGCCAUGCUUUCUCAUGGCUGCUGCUGUACAGGUUUCCCUACGGCACUGAGGAGAGCCCUGAAGGAUGCUGGAGGUGCUGAGCAUGACAGACCACCUGGGGACGAUGUGGUGUUGGGCAAGGGGCAGCAGGAGCUGCCUGCACAUCAGGUGAGAGGUGUCUGCAUUGGGGAGAACUGAGCUGGUGUUGCAUUAAUGCAAGCCCAUUAAAGCACCCCCUAAACUCCCGCUGGCAGUGAUGGAAAUGGCCCCGCUUGCCCUGGGAUUGCUGCCCCUCAGCGGGUGCAGCCGCCUCCAGCAGGUGGGGAAAUGGCAGCUGUGUAGGAGCUGAGCAAAAUAAGCUGAACUCCAAACAAGGAGAGCAAAAAAGCCCGUAACCUUAUUUCUUGGGAAAAAAAAAAGAUACAGUUUUUCAAAUGCUUCUUGCAGCUGCUAAAUGCAUUAGCAGCCGUGGUGCAUCUUGAAUGGGCAGUUGUGGCAGAAGAAGAAUAGCUUCUCUGUGGUGAUCUGGUGCCCAUGGCAGGUGUUCGGGAGAUGAUUUAUUGCCUUCUUGCUGGAAGCUGGGCAGCCACAUUCAGUGCUCACGUGGUAUGAGGUUCUCUUCCAUUGUCUCCAAACUUCCUUGAAAGGGCUAAGUACUUUGCCACGUAUUUUCACUUUUAAAAACUCUACCCCAUGCAACCGGGAGGGAGACCCGGGAGGGAUAUCAGAGCAGGGUUUUGCAUGUGUUGUCCAUGCCAAAAGAACUAAAUCCUUACUGGGAAUUAGAGGCACCAGGUCAUUGGCCCUGGAAGUCAUUACAGGGUGUCCAUUCCCAGCAGCUGACAUUGCUGUAGGAAAUAUCAGGUUUUUUAUUUUUUUUGGUGGUGGUGCUUAAUUGGUUUGGUUUGGUUUGUUGGAUUUUUUUUUGGGGGGGGAGGGGAUUUUUGGUUGUUGUUGUGUUGCUGCCACGCAGUGGACUAGCACAUAAAGUUGGGAGAGAAAAUAUAGAAAAUAAACUGCGUGCUAUCAAAACA
rnacentral:lncRNA from 1 species